AUAUUCAAAUUGUUUUACAGUAUUACAGUAGAUUCUCCAUACCCUAAACUUCUCGUUGUGCGCUUCUCACAGGUUGCCAUCUUCGUCUUUACUUGCGCAAUUGCUUUUGAUUUUCUGGAUUUUGCAUCGGUUAGGUUUAGUUUGUAUUCUCGGUUUUUCAGAUUUGAUUUUAUUGUGAUAGUUUGAAACUUUGUUUUUGGGUUCUAGAAAAAGAGCGAUGGUGUUCAAAACAGGUACAUGGUGAUGGAGGUUUUUAUGAAUCCUAAUAGGAAAGAUCGGGUGAUUCUAUUAUAAUUACUCAGUUUAAUAUCUCUAAUGCUAUAAAA
rnacentral:lncRNA from 1 species